CUUAUUGGAGCUUGAUGAAGGGUUUAACAUACAAUUUUUGUUUUUAGGUUUUUUGAUAAUUUAUAAUUUAUGUAAAAAUACGUAAAUGUUUUGAAGGGACGAUAAGACCCUAAAAGCUUUAUUCUUAAAAAAUUGUUUUUUGUUGUUUUAAUAUUAAUUAUUUGUAAAGAGUUUGGCUGGGGCAGCAUGUUUUUUAAACAAAAUAAAUUUUUUACUUGUAGGAUUUAAGGUCCUUUAAAUAAGGAUAGAUUGUAUUAGUUACUUUAGGGAUAACAGCGCAAUAAUAGUGGGGAGACCUUAUUUAUAUUAUUGAUUGUGACCUCGAUGUUGAAUUAAUAUAUCUUUAUAAAGCAGAAAUUAUUUUAGAGAGUUUGUUCAACUUUUAAAUUAUUACAUGAUCUGAUUUCCAA
rnacentral:rRNA from 1 species